GAUGAACGCUAGCGACAGGCCUAAUACAUGCAAGUCGAACGGCAGCACAGCAGAGCUUGCUCUGUGGGUGGCGAGUGGCGGACGGGUGAGGAAUACAUGGGAAUCUGCCCAGUCGUGGGGGAUAACGUAGGGAAACUUACGCUAAUACCGCAUGCGCCCUUCGGGGAAAGCCGGGGACCUUCGGGCCUGGCGCGAUUGGAUGAGCCCAUGUCGGAUUAGCUAGUUGGCGGGGUAAGUGGCCCACCAAGGCGACGAUCCGUAGCUGGUCUGAGAGGAUGAUCAGCCACACUGGAACUGAGACACGGUCCAGACUCCUACGGGAGGCAGCAGUAGGGAAUAUUGGACAAUGGGCGCAAGCCUGAUCCAGCCAUGCCGCGUGAGUGAAGAAGGCCCUCGGGUUGUAAAGCUCUUUUGUCCGGAAAGAAAAGCGCCGGGUUAAUACCCUGGUGUCCUGACGGUACCGGAAGAAUAAGCACCGGCUAACUUCGUGCCAGCAGCCG
rnacentral:rRNA from 1 species